AAAGUUUCACACCACUGUCGCAUCAUUUUUAUGGAAAUUAGAAAACGAUGCCUUCGUAGACGUUCAAAUGUUAUAAAAAUAGUUAAAUAAGUAACACAGUUUAACUCAAUAGUACAUCAUAGCAUAAAAUUAUUCGUAGCUUUGCUAUAAAUAGUCGUAAUAAUGAGUGCCGGAGAACCGUUCAUUAGGAUGCCGAUUUUGGGUGAGCAGUGGUGUAAAUCUGAUAAAUAUCUACAUCAUAAAAACGAUCCAAGGCUUGACAUAAAUUCACUGACAGAAGAAAAGUUUGAUACAGCGAUAAAAACCUUACUUAAUGACAACAGAUAUCGGAAAAAUAUUGUAACGUUGCGUAAAUUGAUGUUCCAGCGAACACAAAAACCUCCUGACCGCGCUCUAUGGUGGUCUGAAAGUGUGAUUCGUAACGGCGGCGCACGCCAUCUAGCGUCGUCCAGUGCUAAUGUCUUUGGCGCUCAAUACCUACAAUCUCAGCCAGUAUUUGUUUCACUUACUGCACUUUUUGCUCUUAUUGUCCUUUAUAUAGUUUGUGCUGUAGUUAAAAUGAAAAAAAAUUAAGUACCAGUUGUAAUUUUUAGAAAUGAAAUUUCGAUGUAUAUCUUUGG